rnacentral:rRNA from 1 species
GUCGAGCGGACCGACGGGAGCUUGCUCCCUUAGGUCAGCGGCGGACGGGUGAGUAACACGUGGGUAACCUGCCUGUAAGACUGGGAUAACUCCGGGAAACCGGGGCUAAUACCGGAUGCUUGAUUGAACCGCAUGGUUCAAUYAUAAAAGGUGGCUUUUAGCUACCACUUGCAGAUGGACCCGCGGCGCAUUAGCUAGUUGGUGAGGUAACGGCUCACCAAGGCGACGAUGCGUAGCCGACCUGAGAGGGUGAUCGGCCACACUGGGACUGAGACACGGCCCAGACUCCUACGGGAGGCAGCAGUAGGGAAUCUUCCGCAAUGGACGAAAGUCUGACGGAGCAACGCCGCGUGAGUGAUGAAGGUUUUCGGAUCGUAAAACUCUGUUGUUAGGGAAGAACAAGUACCGUUCGAAUAGGGCGGYACCUUGACGGUACCUAACCAGAAAGCCACGGCUAACUACGUGCCAGCAGCCGCGGUAAUACGUAGGUGGCAAGCGUUGUCCGGAA